CUGAAUUGUGAGCUCCGAGCUUGGUAGUCUAAGGCAGUGCUAUGACGGCCAAGCCGAUAGGGUUUAAUGGGAAACCAUUAAGCCUCCCGUGUGGAAAGGAGUAUAGUAGUAAACCUU
rnacentral:ncRNA from 2 species